AUCAUGGCUCAGGACGAACGCUGGCGGCGUGCCUAAUACAUGCAAGUCGAACGCGUCUCCGUUAAUGAUUUUAGGUGCUUGCACUUGAAAGAUUUAACAUUGAGACGAGUGGCGAACUGGUGAGUAACACGUGGGUAACCUGCCCUUGAAGUAGGGGAUAACACUUGGAAACAGGUGCUAAUACCGUAUAACAACCAAAACCACCUGGUUUUGGUUUAAAAGACGGCUUCGGCUGUCACUUUAGGAUGGACCCGCGGCGUAUUAGCUUGUUGGUAAGGUAACGGCCUACCAAGGCGAUGAUACGUAGCCGACCUGAGAGGGUAAUCGGCCACAUUGGGACUGAGACACGGCCCAAACUCCUACGGGAGGCAGCAGUAGGGAAUCUUCCACAAUGGACGAAAGUCUGAUGGAGCAACGCCGCGUGAGUGAUGAAGGGUUUCGGCUCGUAAAACUCUGUUGUUGGAGAAGAACAGGUGUCAGAGUAACUGUUGACAUCUUGACGGUAUCCAACCAGAAAGCCACGGCUAACUACGUGCCAGCAGCCGCGGUAAUACGUAGGUGGCAAGCGUUGUCCGGAUUUAUUGGGCGUAAAGCGAGCGCAGGCGGUUUUUUAGGUCUGAUGUGAAAGCCUUCGGCUUAACCGGAGAAGUGCAUCGGAAACCGGGAGACUUGAGUGCAGAAGAGGACAGUGGAACUCCAUGUGUAGCGGUGAAAUGCGUAGAUAUAUGGAAGAACACCAGUGGCGAAGGCGGCUGUCUGGUCUGUAACUGACGCUGAGGCUCGAAAG
rnacentral:rRNA from 1 species